rnacentral:tRNA from 4 species
GGAGAGAUGUCCGAGAGGUCGAAGGAGCACGACUGGAAAUCGUGUGUACUGCAAGGUACCGAGGGUUCGAAUCCCUCUCUCUCCGCCA